CUGGUUGAUCCUGCCAGUAGUCAUAUGCUUGUCUCAAAGAUUAAGCCAUGCAUGUCUCAGUGCAAGCCGUACGCGUUCGCGCGUCUAGGUGAAACCGCGAAAGGCUCAUUAAAUCAGUUAUGGUUCCUUGGAUCGUACCAACUAGUUACUUGGAUAACUGUGGUAAUUCUAGAGCUAAUACAUGCCGACAGAGUUCCAUCCGUCCUCGCGGACGGGAGGAACGCUUUUAUUAGAUCAAAACCAAUCGGCGACGCGGGCUUGCUCGCUCGCCGCGAACACGCGGUUCUCUCCUUGCGAGGGACACCGUUCAAGUGGUGACUCUGAAUAACUUUGAGCUGAUCGCACGGCCUUCGUGCUGGCGAUGCAUCUUUCAAAUGUCUGCCUUAUCAACUGUCGAUGGUAGGUUAUGCGCCUACCAUGGUGGUAACGGGUGACGGGGGAUCAGGGUUCGAUUCCGGAGAGGGGGCCUGAGAAACGGCUACCACAUCCAAGGAAGGCAGCAGGCACGCAAAUUACCCACUCCCAGUCCGGGGAGGUAGUGACGAAAUAUAACGAUACGGGACUCUUUUGAGGCCUCGUAAUCGGAAUGAGUACACUUUAAAACGUUUAACGAGGAUCCAUUGGAGAGCAAGUCUGGUGCCAGCAGUCGCGGUAAUUCCAGCUCCAAUAGCGUAUAUUAAAGUUGUUGCGGUUAAAAAGCUCGUAGUUGGAUGUGUGUCUCGCGGCGUCGGUUCACCGCUUGAAGGCGGUGUCAACUGGCGCGCCAGCGAAAUGUCCUGCCGGUGGCGGUGUCUGGGUCGGCAGGUACGGGACGUUGUCGGCGGCGAGAGCCGCUUCGCGCCGCCUCUCGUGCGCAGCACGUCUGCUCGGCCUGUGCGGAUCGGCCGUCGGUUCCUCUCCUCGCCGGAGGGGAUUCUUGUCGCGGUGCCCGGUGCGCGCGGGUUCGCUUUGCGCUCGCGCCACUGGUGUCGAGGCGGACCGGCACGUUUACUUUGAACAAAUUAGAGUGCUUAAAGCAGGCAAGCAAUGUGUGACGGGGUUUGCAGCCCCGGCCGCCUGAAUACUGUGUGCAUAGAAUAACUGAAUAGGACGUCGGUUCCAGAGGUUAAGUGGUUUUCGGAGCCCGACGUAAUGAUUAACAGGGACGGGGCGGGGGCAUUCGUAUUGCGACGUUAGAGGUGAAAUUCUUAGAUCGUCGCAAGACGAACCGAAGCGAAAGCGUUUGCCAAGUACGUCCCCGUUGAUCAAGAACGAAAGUUAGAGGUUCGAAGGCGAUCAGAUACCGCCCUAGUUCUAACCAUAAACGAUGCCAGCCAGCGAUCCGCCAAUGUUUCUCCGAUGACUUGGCGGGCAGCUUCCGGGAAACCAGAGUUUUUGGGUUCCGGGGGAAGUAUGGUUGCAAAGCUGAAACUUAAAGGAAUUGACGGAAGGGAACCACCAGGAGUGGAGCCUGCGGCUUAAUUUGACUCAACACGGGAAACCUCACCAGGCCCGGACACCGGAGGAUUGACAGAUUGAGAGCUCUUUCUUGAUUCGGUGGGUGGUGGUGCAUGGCCGUUCUUAGUUGGUGGAGCGAUUUGUCUGGUUAAUUCCGAUAACGAACGAGACUCUUUCCUGCUAACUAGCCGUCAGCGUAUCGACUUCGUCGUCGUGCUGGCCAGGUCAAACCGGCCGUCGGUCGUGUGUGCUGGCGUGCGUUCGCGUGCGUCGGUGUGCGCGCCGGCGGUCGGUCUGGUCGUGCGGCGACGAGCUACCUGCGGUCAAUUUUCUUCUUAGAGGGACAGACGGCGUCUAGCCGUACGAGACUGAGCAAUAACAGGUCUGUGAUGCCCUUAGAUGUUCUGGGCCGCACGCGCGCUACACUGAAGGAAUCAGCGUGCUUUACCCUGGACCGAGAGGUCCGGGUAACCCGUUGAACCUCCUUCGUGAUAGGGAUCGGGGCUUGCAAUUUUUCCCCGUGAACGAGGAAUUCCCAGUAAGCGCGAGUCAUAAGCUCGCGUUGAUUACGUCCCUGCUCUUUGUACACACCGCCCGUCGCUACUACUAAUUGAAUGAUUUAGUGAGGUCUUCGGACCGGUGCUCGGAAGAGAGCCUCGUGCCCUCUCCCGACGUCACCGGAAAGAUGACCGAACUUGAUUAUUUAGAGGAAGUAAAAGUCGUAACAAGGUUUCCGUAGGUGAACCUGCGGAAGGA
rnacentral:rRNA from 1 species